GUCGACGGAGUUCUUGAGGAAUGCGGCUUCGGCCAAAUGACUUUUGAACUUAGUGGCGGACGGGUGAGUAACGCGUGAGCAACCUGCCUUUCAGAGGGGGAUAACAUUUGGAAACAGAUGCUAAUACCGCAUAAGAUUACAGUACCGCAUGAUACAGUGAUCAAAGGAGCAAUCCGCUGAAAGAUGGGCUCGCGUCCGAUUAGAUAGUUGGUGAGGUAACGGCUCACCAAGUCGACGAUCGGUAGCCGGACUGAGAGGUUGAACGGCCACAUUGGGACUGAGACACGGCCCAGACUCCUACGGGAGGCAGCAGUGGGGAAUAUUGCACAAUGGGCGAAAGCCUGAUGCAGCAACGCCGCGUGAGGGAAGACGGUUUUCGGAUUGUAAACCUCUGUUUUCGGUGACGAAUAAAUGACGGUAACCGAGUAGGAAGCCACGGCUAACUACGUGCCAGCAGCCGCGGUAAUACGUAGGUGGCAAGCGUUAUCCGGAAUUACUGGGUGUAAAGGGAGCGCAGGCGGGAUAGCAAGUCAGCUGUGAAAACUAUGGGCUCAACCCAUAAACUGCAGUUGAAACUGUUAUUCUUGAGUGGAGUAGAGGCAAGCGGAACUCCGAGUGUAGCGGUGAAAUGCGUAGAUAUUCGGAGGAACACCAGUGGCGAAGGCGGCUUGCUGGGCUCU
rnacentral:rRNA from 1 species